rnacentral:rRNA from 1 species
UGGAUAGUGGUUAUGAGAGGAAGAUCCCCAACAUUGGAAUUGAGACACGGUCCACACUCCUACGGGAGGCAGCAGUGAGGAAUAUUGGUCAAUGGACGAGAGUCUGAACCAGCCAAGUAGCGUGAAGGAUGACUGCCCUAUGGGUUGUAAACUUCUUUUAUACGGGAAUAAAGUUAGCCACGUGUGGUUUUUUGUAUGUACCGUAUGAAUAAGGAUCGGCUAACUCCGUGCCAGCAGCCGCGGUAAUACGGAGGAUCCGAGCGUUAUCCGGAUUUAUUGGGUUUAAAGGGAGCGUAGGCGGGUUGUUAAGUCAGUUGUGAAAGUUUGCGGCUCAACCGUAAAAUUGCAGUUGAUACUGGCGACCUUGAGUGCAACAGAGGUAGGCGGAAUUCGUGGUGUAGCGGUGAAAUGCUUAGAUAUCACGAAGAACUCCGAUUGCGAAGGCAGCUUACUGGAUUGUAACUGACGCUGAUGCUCGAAAGUGUGGG